GCAAACUAAAUGUUUUGCCGUUUUCAAUUUCAGUGGAAUCAAACUGGUAGUCAACCAAGUCACGGGAAAAUUUAAAGUUCGGAGAGCCAAGAUGGCUAAGUAUUUGGCAAUAGCAAAAUUCUUUACCGAAUUCAAAGCGAUCAAAAUUGAUCAAGUGGGGAGAAACCUAAAUUCACAUGCAGACGCACUAACAAGCUCGGCAUUAGUUUUCAAAGGAAAAAUAGGGCGAACCAUUGCAGUCAAUUUGAUCUCGGCCCCCAGCCACGAAACAUCCCAAGAAUCCAUCCUAGUCAACACUAAGCUGGGGCCGAGCUGGAUGGAUCCAAUCUUGAAUUUUAUACGACAUGACAAGCUGCCAGAAGACAAGAGAGACGUACAAAUUCCGGAUAAAGACAGUGCGGUUCUAAAUCUCCCCCACCGGGGACUUGUACAAAAAAUCGUAUCUGGGACCCUACCUACUGUACGUCUACCUAAGCCUAGUCGAGGAUGUACUUUUUGAAAUUCACGAAGGCAUUUGCAGACUACACUCAGGGGGGAGAUCAUUGGCUCAUCGAGCCCUAACUUAGGGAUACUGAUGGCCAUUCAUGCAAAAAAAAACGCCCAAGCGUAUGUCCGCAAGUGUACCAAAUGCCAACUUUUCUCCCCCCAAUUCAUCAGCCAAUAAGGGGACUUAACCCCUCUCACCAGUCUAUGGCCUUUUACUCUGAUACCACUUGUCAAGCUCAACCCAUCUUUCUCCUUAACACCCAGGUAUUAAGGAGAGGGGAACAUGAGCCUUAUAGACAGCAUAGAGGGGCCAGAAUUGGACGAUGUGGGACAUUUCAACAAAGACUUGUUAGGGCAAUUGAAGAUCGAGUUCUAUAAUUCAACGUCGAGCUACCCGCUGCAACGGGCAAGCCGAGGCCACUAGCAAAACAAUCAUAAACGGGAUCAAGAAGAGGCUUGAAAAAGCCAAAGGCAAAUGGAUCGAGGAACUGCCAAACGUUUUGUGAGUCUAUCAGACCACACCGCGGAAAGCAACUAAAAAAAAACAAAAAAAAAAAAAAAAAAAAAAAAAAAAAAAAAAAAAAAAAAAAAAAAAAAAAAAAAAAAAAAAAAAAAAAAAAAAAAAAAAAAAAAAAAAAAAAAAAAAAAAAAAAAAAAAAAAAAAAAAAAAAAAAAAAAAAAAAAAAAAAAAAAA
rnacentral:lncRNA from 1 species